UUUAUUUUCGCAAGAGGUAAUCCUCAAUUUUCAAUUGUAUAAUUUGACUUGCAGAUUAUAUGAGACUUGAUUCCAUUAAAUAAUGUUGUCGAGAGUACAUAUCUGUCAACAUUGAUGCUAUAAUAGUAAAUUAUAUUUGAUAAAAUGUUGAUAUGAUAUGAGACUAUUUGUACGAUGAGUUGAUUACCUGUAGGUAAUUGUAGAUGAGGACAUGCAAGUGUGUUGUAAUUGUUGGCUUUUACGUAGUACCUUUUAAUUAUUACUACUCCAAUAACCAACAUAGUAGAAGUCGAGUGCUCGAAGGAGGUAGGAACAGAUGUUAGGAUAUAAAAAAAAAAUUAGAAAAAGAUUGAGCCAAGUGUGCAUUGUUGGAUGGAGAUUUUAUGUGGUAAUAAUAAUCUCUUUCAUGUUGAAGAAUGCAUUUAAGUGGACUAACUAAAUUUGUGUCAUAGUGAUAGCUUGACAUUAUAAGCGAAAGGUUCACUUAACUAUUGCUUUAUUAGGUUUAUUAUUUACAAACCAUGCAGAAAUAAUUUUCUGAUUAUUCUUUCCUUCCACCCAAAUCAUUGGUUAUGAUUGACCUCUACACGUAAAUGGAUUAACUACAUGAUUGGCCUUUUCGAUUAAAUUAUUGUUCAAUAGAGGAGUUGUUUUUCUUAAUUUAAUUUGGGUUGGUUUUUAGAAAGAAAAGAAAAAGAGACAAAAAAUGGUUGUGAUCAUCUUGGGUUCAUUUUCUCCGCUAGUCAUAAUUAUAGUUUCCUUCGAUGUGAUGUUGAUUAUUUAAGUCAAGAUUAGUGGAUCCUUCGGCUAAGAAUUAAUAUUAAUUAGUAUGACGAAAUUGAACCUUGGUUCAAGUUCAAGAAAACAGGUGGUGCCAAGUAUGGUGAAUUGUGUGCCUUAACAUUGUUACCUUCAUUCUAUGCAUGUAAAAGAAUUAACCUUCACUGUAAAUCUUCAUUGAAACUGAUAUUUGCAUGCUUAAACCUUUUUAAGUUUGAUCAUUAUUAUUUUUAUUUUUCCCUACCUUUGCUAGAAGUGAAAUAAAGUUUGAGCAAUUAUAGUUAAUGAAGAUGAAGAAUUACUGUCCAUGAAAUAAUGUUUGAAUGUUAUUUUCAACUUAAGAAGAAAGAAGACGUUUUGUAAUGAUUUUUUCAAUUUUUUAAUAAGUCAUUUAAGGCAUAAGAAUUAAGUGCCUAAAAAUAGGCCAUACAUAACAUAAAAAAUAAAUAAAUUUUGAGUUUAAAUAUUAGCGAUAGUUUUUUUUUUUGCUUUCUAAGUUUUAAAUUCAAAUCUGAAAAGUAUAGAGAAUUAACAUACAAGAGAAGGUUAACGAUGAAGUUGGAAAGCCCUGCUACCGACCAUUCAUUAUAAUAAAAUCUAACAUACCAUUUGAAGCCAUUUGAAUCGGGUUGGAUAGAUCUAAACCUAUUAGGUGCUUAUUUAGAUUAGAAAAUGGGGGACGACUCAUAAAUGCCUCAAAGACGUGAGAAAUAUACCAAAACUCGUGGUAAGGCCGAAAAGUACUACUAUCGGUAAGCCACACAUCAAUACAGUUUAAAUAUAUUCAAAAAUAAAUAAAAGCGAGAUAGAAGUCACUUUUAGGCCAACAAAUAUUAUAUAUCCAAAAGAUUAAUUUAAGCCAGACAUAAGUCAUUAAAGCAACUGUGCUAGAACCACGGGACUCGAGGGGUGCCUCACACCUUCCCCUCGGUCAAUAGAAUUCCUUAUCUGAAUUUCUAGAUCGCAAAUCAAAAAUUAAGAGUCAUUUCCUUUUGAAUAGGGAUUCAAUAAGGUGACUUGGAACACCCAAACUCAAUUCCAAGUGGCGACUCUGUAAAAUGAAUAAUCCAUUUUCAAAACAUCAAUUUAAUUGGAAAAACCCAUUUACUCUAAAACCAACUCCCUAGUGGGGUCGGAUGCAGAGGAAAAAUAGGGGUGUGACAGUUACAAAUGAUGAACUUCGGUAUAUUUUUAUUUGAUCAUCGAUAUUGAGAUGUAUUAAACUUCAGUGUUUGAAAUAGAGGUGAAGUGAAAAGGCUUAUUUGAGAAAUAUUUAAGCGUAUUGAUGUUUUCAAUAAAAAAUCUCUAUGUAUAAUUAUGUAUAAAUACAUAUUGUUCUUUUUCAAUUAAAUUAAUAAUAUUGUCAAAAACAAUUAUUAUCUCCUUUAUAUAUUCCCUCGCCUAUCUUGGUCUCUUGCUCCAUUUCAAUCUAAUAUUUUUACCUGCUAUCAUUAAUUUUUAUUAUUAGAAAUAGUGAGACAGUUUUAUUUAUUAAAACCUUUUAAUAAGUUCAAUUAAUAUUUCUAAAGAUCUUCCUACUUUUCAAGUAACUAGUGUCAAUGAACAUGCAUUAUAGUAAUACUAGUGUCAAAUAGAAAACAUCAGUUUGUGAUCUAUUUUUCAGUUUAUACAUCGCUAAUGAUAAAUUGAUAAUAGUAAUCUAAUAAUAGCAUGAGACAAUUAUUUCAAAUGAUUAUUAUGAAUCAACAAGUUUCUCUCUACUAUAUCACAAAAUGAAUAUACCAAAUUUUUUAUUAUUUUCUAACAUUAUUUCGAAACAUUAGAGGUUACUCCAUUUUGCUUGUCUAACAUUCACAAAAAUAAUAUACAGUUAAAUAGAAUGGUCAACCCUUCAAAAAUCAAAGGAGUGCAAGUCAUUAAAGAGUACAUGAAUUUUAUUUUAAAUCAAUAAUACACCACACCAAAUUUUAACAAUUUACAAGUGUUGUUUGGGCAUAUAAGGAAGUAGAGUAAAAUCAAAUUAAUCAUUAAAAGGUAUCAGAUAUUUAAACUAUUUAUGAAAUAAUAAUAUUACAUAUUCAAUUAAUUAUAACAUUUAUGUAUAUAAUAUAUCUAUUCGGUUUGGUUAUCUUUUCAUUUUUAUUUUAAUAAAAAUCAAAAUCAAAUCAAAUAUUAUUGAUUUUUAAAAUUUAAAAUGAGACCAAACAAAAUAUCUGUUCUUUUAAUCAAUUUGGUUAUCAUCAUUCUAGUGCUAAAUAGUAUUGCAGAUUUUUUGGUGCAACAAAUCUGAAAAUAUUAAAUUGGAAAAAAGGUGCGUAAAAUACCUGUACUUUACCUAAAUUUGUAGUUGCACAUACUGAACUUUGCGGGGGUCCUAUGACCCCUCCUAGAAUUUUUUUUCAUAUUUAAAUGACAUAUAUCUGCCCACUCGGACCACUUAGUCAGUCACUCAAAGGACGGUAAUUCACACGCGACCUUUCAAUAAAUAAUUAUUCCUCCUAAUUAUAUUUUAACUCCUAAUUAUCCACAAAUUUAAUAAAAGAUAAAUAAUUAUUCAUCAAAUACGUGACCUUUCAUCUUCCUUAUAUUUAUUUUUCAGACAUUUUCAUCAAUUUCUUUUAUUCUUCUUCCUCAUUUCUCACUUUCACUACUCUUUAAAAAAAAAAUUGUUGCAAGGUCAACAAUAACAAGUCUUUUAGUGUUCUUGGAAGUAUGAUUUCGUAUUUUGGAGCUGUGAGAGUGUUGGCAUUUAACAAGUCUUGAAGAUUAGCUUUAUUUUUUGUGAUGGCUAAAGUUAAAAUUAAAACUUUAUGACAAUUUUUUUUAGAAUUAUUAUUCAAAAAGUCUAGAUUGUACCGUCUAAAGUUUCAUAGUUUGUCAAAAUUAGGAUAUUUUGCUAUUCUAAAUCAUUCUUAUUUUAUCAAUAAGUUAGGAUUUUUUUUCUUAAUCUAAACUGAUUCUUCUAGUUUGACUGAUUACUACAUGUUUGAAUAAUCAAUUUUUUCCUAAUUAUCAUCCACUGUAAAUGUGACUAAAUUUCAGGAUUAGGUGAUUUUACAUAUAUAACCUGAGAUACUAUUAUGAUGGAGUUUUGAAUAGUAAAAGUCGAAAAUCAGAAUAUAAGGAUGGUGAAGUUACACAGAUAUUUUUUAUGUGGAUAAGCUAUCUUAUUUUGAGCUAACUAGCUUUUUAAAAGAGUUAGGGUAUGCUACAACAAGUUGCACGUUUUAUCUUGAGCCACCUAAAAAGGACUUUCUGUUAGAUUUUCAAAGAGAUGAGGAUAUUUUUGAACUUCCACAAUCCUUUGAAAAUGAAAAUAUUAUUGAGGUGUACAUCUGUCACAUGGUUGAUCAACUUGAUCAAGUUGAUAGUCCCAUUGAUUUGCUUGAAUACACUAGUACCAAUGAGAAAUCUUUUAUUUCUUUUAAUAAAGAAUGGGACAAGGAGGUCCAUGAAGAGAAUAGGGUUGCUGAAAAAAGGGGUGAGAGUGGUCAUUUUAAUGAAACACCAACUACUGUUGGAUAUAUUGAGCUUGAAAAUGAGGUUGCACCUGCUCAAUCAACAGCUAAUAAAGUUGUCGCAUCUGUUGGUGAAGCUUAGCUACUGCCGAGGCUACAACUGUUGAUGCUUCUGACCACUCAAAUAAAAAUAAUGCAGAUUUAGACCAUAAAGAUCAAUUUGUUGAAGAUGAUGCUGGAUUUGAAAGUGAUGUGCAUGAGAAGGACAUAAAUUUGAGGGCUGAAAUUAGGACAUAUCAUAGGAGGAAGAGAAGAGAAACAAUACCUAAUGACCCUAAAGAAGUUCCUCUUGGUGAAGUCGGUCCAGAUCUGGAAUUUGAUGAGACAGAAAUUGUUGACAAAAGUUUAAAAGAUAAAGUUUCUAGGGAUGUGCCUGUAUGUUGCAUUUCUGAUUUAUGCAGUGUGGAAUCUGAUUCAAAAGAUGAAUUAGGGAGGACAAAUAGUAGAAAGGUAGUGUGUGAUAAAUCUACAAAACAAGUUGUGUGGCAAUUGGGUAAGGAUGUGAGUCAGUUUAGAGAUGUUACAAAAUAUGCACUUCAAGAAGAUGUUCAGUUAGAGAAGUAUAUUAAUGAGUCUAAAAAAGUUAGAGUUAGAUGUAGGGAAGGGUGUCAUUGGCUGUUAUAUGCAGGUCUUAACAAGUCUACUAAUAAUUUUCAAAUUAAAACCUACAAAUCAAAGCAUAGGUGUAACAAAAUCACUAGAAAUGUCAUGUGUAAUGCUAGAUUCCUGCACAAGCAUUUUAAAGAUAAAAUCACUAAGUAGCCAAACAUGAAGAUAUUUCAAUUUCAACAAUUGAUUAGAAAAAAAUUGAAUAUACAUGAUGGAAAGACUACUGCCAGGAGAGUUAGAGGUAGAAUACUUUAAGAUUUAAUGGAUAAUCAUGUAAAAGAGUUUGGAAAAAUAUUUGACUAUAGGUAUGAAAUAUUGAGGUCUAAUCCUGAUUGCACUUGUGCUGUAAAAGUUGAUAAUUCUGAUGAUAGUGGUAAGUUUUUUUUUCAAAGUUUCUACGUUUAUUUUGAUGCAUGCAAAAAACUUUUUUGAAUGGUUGUAAAAAUUUUAUUGGUUUAGAUGGAUGUUUUCUGAAGGGAAUAACCAAAGGACAGUUGUUGAUUAUUGUGUCUAAAGAUGGCAAUAAUCAAAUGUUGCUUAUUGCUUGAAUUGUAGUAGAGUAUGAGAAUAAGAACACUUGGACAUGAUUUAUGUAAUUAUUGAUCGAGGAUUUGGGAUUAACAGGACAGAGAUAUAUGUUUUUUUCUUCAUUUAGUUAUGUUUAAUGUAUAUUAUGUGUAGUUAUGAAUAUGUAAUUAAUUUGUGUUCAAUUUUAUGAUCUGAUUUUCAGGAUUUUAGAGCAACACUAAUGAAGAUUUUAUCAGUGGUAGAGCAUAAGAUGUGUGCAAGAUGCAUCCUUGCUUCAAAGAAGGAACCAGUUCUGAAAAUGUGCAGGAAGCACAUUUAAAGAUGAAAUGAAAAAAAAUCUGAACCAAAUGGCAAUGCAAGGUGGCAAAGAUAUUAUUCCAGAUUUACUUCAUUACAAGGUACAAACUUGAUGUAAAAUGUACUUUAGAACUGACAUCAAGUGUGAUAGCAUAGAUAAUAACAUGAUUGAGAGCAUUAUGCUUGGAUCUUAGGACCAAGGCAUGAAAUAAUUAUUACUAUGCUAGAAGAGAUAAUUGUGAAGGUAAUAACUAGACUAGGUGAAUUCACUAAAUUUUUAGAAACAUAAUUAACUAAUACAUCUAUAUUGAUUUUGAGAGUGUUAAAAAAAAUACUGAGAAGUCAAUGAGAUGUAAUAUUGACUUCAAUAAAGAGAGGUUUUGAAAUAUCAGAUGGACCAUAUGUACAUAGUGUAGAUGUCAGGAAUAGUACAUGCAGUUGUAGAUCUUGGAUGCUCAAAGAAAUACCAUGUCCACAUGGGAUUGCAGUCAUACUUUAUAAGAAAUGAGAAUCAAUUGAUUUUGUUGAUAGUUGCUAUAGUAAAGAGACUUAUCUCAAGAUUUAAUGUCACUAUAUUCAAUCAGUGACCAACAUGAACAUGUGGCCAAAGUCAACAAAUUCUCAUUUGGAGCCACCAGUUGUUAAACCUAUGCCUGACAGGCCAAAGUAGAAAAAGAAUAGAGAGUUUGGUGAGAUCAAAAAGUGUGAAAAGAUGUCAAAAAAAGGAUUAACAUGACUUGUAGUAUCUGUCAAGGACAAAAUUACAACAAAAGAGGCUUUCUUUUAAAGGUGUGUAACUUAUAAAUGACUUGUAUCAUUUAUUUGUAGUUUAAUUGUUUUUGAAUAUGUGAAUGCUUCACCUUUUUUUGUCAGAUUUUGUUGGAUCAAGUAGUGUUGCUGUUGGACCAAGUGAUAUACCAAGUACUUCAAGACCUAGGAGGAGGUCAAGAAACACUCCAACUACUACUGAUGCACCUUCUAUACUUAGGGAAAAGGUCAAGGAUAACAAGUAAUAAUCCUGAAGCACCUUCUAGACCUAAGGGAAAACCAAGAAAGAAAACACAGGCUGAAAAAGUUGCAACACCUCCUACACCUAGGGAAAGGCCUGAUGAACCAACUGCAACAAAUACACCAGCUGCACAAGCUGC
rnacentral:lncRNA from 1 species